GACGAACGCUGGCGGCGUGCUUAACACAUGCAAGUCGAACGGAAAGGCCCUGCUUUUGUGGUGUGCUCGAGUGGCGAACGGGUGAGUAACACGUGAGUAACCUGCCCUUGACUUUGGGAUAACUUCAGGAAACUGGGGCUAAUACCGGAUAGGAGCUCCUGCUGCAUGGUGGGGGGGGGAAAGUUUCGGCGGUUGGGGAUGGACUCGCGGCUUAUCAGCUUGUUGGUGGGGUAGUGGCUUACCAGGGCUUUGACGGGUAGCCGGCCUGAGAGGGUGACCGGCCACAUUGGGUCUGAGAUACGGCCCAGACUCAUGCGGGAGGCAGCAGUGGGGAAUAUUGCACAAUGGGCGGAAGCCUGGUGCCGCAGCGCCGCGUGCGGGAUGACGGCCUUCGGGUUGUACACCGCUUUCGCCUGUGACGAAGCGUGGGUGACGGUAAUGGGUAAAGAGGCACCGGCUAACUACGU
rnacentral:rRNA from 1 species